UCAGUGCCUUAGUAGCGCCGAUCCAUCCACUCGCGUUCGUUCGGCUCUUGGCGAUCCAAAUACUCGGACUUAUGUUGCUUACUUUUUGGAUUCGGGUGCAGGCAUUAUUAACAAGAAAAAAUAUUUAAAAAAAAUUGAAAUCGCAGUCGUUGGGCGUCCAAAGAGAGCAAUUCUUAGCGAAUGUCGAUAAGUGCGCACUCUGCGAACAACCAAAGAAAGCAAUGAUUUUUUUUGAAACAAGUGAAUAUUUUUAAAACAAAGCAAUUACCAAAAAUUUGCAUGUUUUUGUGUGGCAGCUGUUGUCAAAUUUCCAGAAUAAGUAUAAACAUAUAAUUAGACUUCAAAUUUGGAUUAUUUAGGGCUAAUGCAAUAACAACUGUUUGGUCAUCUGUUCAACAAUGAUGUUAUUAACCUUUUUAGGCUACUAUAAAUUAUCUUAUUUAAAAUUGAAAAAAAGGCAUAUAAUAUGUAUAAUUUUUCCCACUUUUUUUUACCAACAACGCAACGUUUUCACUCGGAUUGCUCAUUCGAAAUGCGUAGAAGAACAUGAAAACAUUUAAAUACACUCCCGAACACUUGAACACAUGGUCGCACUCGCUCCCUCUCCCGAAUCCGUCAGAUACAUUACAAUCGCGCUACCCGAACCCCGCGAUACAUUUACAUUAGCAGGCCGUUUAGUGCUGUUGUCUCUGAAUUUCAUUACCAUUUUCCCAUUUGCUUUCUUGAUAAAAUUCGAGAGUCCGUUUAAUGUUUACAUUUUGUGCUUUUGUGUUUCGUGUAUUUUGUAUUUUGUGUUUUCGAGUUGCGCUAGUAGCAUACGUUUGGAAAAACUGCUGAAUGGAAUGCUUGUUUACAAUGUGGAAAUAAUGCCUACUCAUAUUUUGUUAUUCUCGCGACUAAUUUGUGAAUAAAUCCCACCGCCGUUGGCAUAGAAUAGAGUUUGCAUGGAAACCAAAUCGAACCGGAACUUUGAAACGCUGGGAUGGCAUAGAACCAGAUCUCUCUGAGCAGUGACCCGCUUAUCAGGUGAUUCGAUUAAGGUUAACCUGGCUUAUCGCAUCCAGCAUCGAGAGUCCUCAACUCUGGCCAAGAUCAAUUGAGCUCAAUCAGUCGAUCGAUCGAACGACGUCAAUAUCUUAACUGGCUAACCCAGCGGGCAUAUAUGGAGAUUGACAUUGAAGGGUGAUGAUGGCUUGGGAUCGCAUUGUGGCAUCUACAUAUACCUUGCCGCAAUUGCUGCUCACUUGUUCGGCUUUAUUCGCUUCCCAGGCGCAUUCUAUUCAUCCGUAAGUUAGCCGUUCUAGCCGCACUAACGGUUCUAGCCAUACCCUCUAUACAUUCUAGUCUUAAUUGGAGCUUCAGUUGAUGGGUCGCUGUGAUGCACAUGGGCGUGCCGCCAUUAGCAAUUCGUUUUGGGGCGAACCCCGGCAUUAUUUCGAUUCCAGAACCUCCAUUGUUUUCCAAACGCACGUGCAGUUCGGUGCGGAAGUGUACUAUUCUGGCUUAUUUACUCCAAGCUAUCCCCUUUCAGGCCACAUCGGUCAAUCCAUUCAGAGCUAAUCUAAUAAUAUCAACGUAAUCAGACAGAAUUCUUUAUAAUGCGAUAUGCUUUCUCAUAAAAAGAUAUAUUGCACUUUAAGAAGAUUCAAGCCCAAUUUAAAUAUAGCACAGCAAAUAAAGAUAGUAAGCUACUUUAUUUUUGCUCUAAAAUGUAAUAUAAGAUACAUUAAGACGUAAAAGAUACACAUACCUAUGGAAUAAAACGCAUCUGAAGCAAUAACUGGCCUUAUAAUUAAAUGAUUUUGCACAAUAAAAAUGAUCUGCAUGUAUUAUAUUAUGUAUAUUAUAAUGUGUUCUUAAGUACUUACCCCCACACACACAUUGUAUGGAUAAUAAUGAUAAUUUCUACUUAUAACGACAGCACAAUUUAGCCAUCCAGGCGUUGGCGAAGCUUAAGUGAAUGAUUGCCCGGAAUUGUUCACGAAUUCAUAGAAAUCUAGGCGUUGCUAAACUCAAUGAGCCCACUUAAGACAUUCCACUCGACUUUUGAUUUUCGAGACUAGGACUCCGACUAAAGGCAUUCAAAAACAAGCAUUUAAUUUCUAUAGAUAGGUACAUAGGUGUGGUAAUUCCCUAGAUUGACCUGGCAUAACCCAGGUUCAGCAACCAGAUGAGUCCGAUCACAAAGAAGCUGUAGAAGGUGACAUUGUAGAGAUUGAGGCGACUGAGGAGUCCCCUGAUUCUGCCGGCGGAGACAACAUCCUGGCCAUUCUUUGGCCGAUCGACAAGCAUGUCCUUCCAGCUGACCACCUGGGGUCGCACCACAAAGACGGCAUUCACCGCCGCCCGGAAGCCAC